UUAGUGGCGGACGGGUGAGUAACGCGUGGAAAACCUGCCGUAUACUGGGGGAUAACACUUAGAAAUAGGUGCUAAUACCGCAUAAGCGCACAGCUUCGCAUGAAGCGGUGUGAAAAACUCUGGUGGUAUACGAUGGUUCCGCGUCUGAUUAGCUAGUUGGUGGGGUAAUGGCCUACCAAGGCAACGAUCAGUAGCCGGCCUGAGGGGGUGAACGGCCACAUUGGGACUGAGACACGGCCCAAACUCCUACGGAAGGCAGCAG
rnacentral:rRNA from 1 species